GCUGGAGUUAAUUAGACUGUGACCAACACAAAUUUAAAGUAAGAAUUAUUAGACCUCAUAUACACAGACGAAUUGUUGUUGCCCGCUUGUUUCCCACUGCAACUCCAACCCCACCUCAUAGCUAACGAGCAAAAAGCCUCGCUAUACUCAGCACCACGAAUUACCCAGAUUCCGGGUAAUUACAGAGUGCCAACCCUAUCUGAACACUAUGUCAUCGUGACGUCAUUAACGAUGUUGUUUCACUGAAAAACAGCGACUUCAAACGAGGCGAAAUAAAUAUGGGAUCAACACUGGAGUAGGAAACUU